ensembl:snRNA U6 U6 spliceosomal RNA
GUCACUUUGGGGGCACAUACAGUGAAAAUGGAAUGAGACAGAGAAGAUUAGCAUGGUCCCCAAGUGAGGAUGACACACAAACUCAUGAAGUGUUCCAUAUUUUC